GUAGGUGAACCUGCGGAAGGAUCACUAGUGAUUAAAUCGAGAGCGUCUUCAUUGACCUCUCACCCUUCACAUCCACAUACACCUGUGCACCGUUUGGCUCUUAUAAAAGACGCAAGUCUGCAAUGAGAGUCAUCAAUUUUAUACAUACCCCAGUCUUAUGAAUGUAACAGUUUUAAUAAACAUAAUAAAACUUUUAACAACGGAUCUCUUGGUUCUCGCAUCGAUGAAGAACGCAGCAUCUGACUGACUA
rnacentral:misc_RNA from 1 species